UAUGACCAAACCACGCACUCACUCUACCCAUUGAAAUGGCCACCCCGUCUUCACCCCAAAACGACGCCGCAUCGCCCUCAAAGAAGCCCCAACCCAUACCAUGGACCCACCAAGAAACCGUUCACCUCAUCCGAGCCUACCAAGAGAAGUGGUACUCUCUCAAACGCGGCCCUCUCCGUCAAAACCAGUGGGAAGAAGUCGCCGUCGUUGUCGCCGCCCGCUGCGGCUACGACCUCAACCACCCCUCCAAGUCCGCCCUCCAGUGCCGCCAUAAAAUGGAAAAACUCCGUCAGCGCCACCGUGCCGACAAAAAACACCGCCUCACCACCCCCACCGCCCCCGCCAGCGCGUGGCAAUACUCAUCCCUCAUGGACGAACUCGAACGCGGCCCCCUCCCUAUUUCCGCCUUAGCCCCUUCGCGAAACGACAGCGAUGAUGACUUCGACGACAACGACACCAAUCCGCAUGAAAACGAUGAGAGGGAGAGAGAGAGUUAUAUCAAGUCGAAGAGUAUUAAUCAUAUUGUUAGCCAUAGCCAGAGACCUAUGAGAACCAAGGAGAGACUUGUUUAUUACGAUGAUAUCGGUGAUGAUGAUGAAGAUGACGAUGAUGAUGAUGAUGAUGAAGAUGAUGAAUAUGAUGAUGGGGGUGACGAUGGUGUUUUAGGGUUGACUGCGGAGAUGAGGGCUUUCGCGGAGAGGUUUAUUGGGAUGGAGAAUUUGAAGAUGGAGAUGAUGAAGGAAACGGAGAGGUGUAGGUUGGAGAUGGAGAAGAAGCGGAUUCAGAUGAUUCUCGAAUCGCAGCGAAGGAUCGUUGAUUCCAUUGGGAGGGUUUUCGGUUCUUCCAAGAGGAUCAAGAUUGGUCAACAAACCUGAAGGUUUUUUUUUUCCUAUUGUGGCUUUCAAUCGAUUGUGAAAAUAGAAAUAAACUCUGGUUGCUUUCUACCACAGAAAAGUCUACAAAACCAGUUGAAUGCCAUGCUGAGAGUUAUUUAUCCUAUUUUUUGUUUCGUUUGAAGUCCUUACUACACACCUCAAUCACGUGAGGCGGAACCAUGGCAUUUAGGAUUUUAAGAUGCAGCAACACCUAUGAUGCAAGGAAUUUAAAAUAUUUCUUAAGACUCACUGAAAACAUGAGAACAAGGGGAACACUAUACGUGGAAGUGGGUUUGAAAAACAAACAUAUGGUGGAUAGAAAAGAGGGAGGUCGGUAAUUGGUGCCGACAUAGGCGACGCGCAUAACAACCUUUUUCUUACGAGAAGCUUGCCAUGAGUGAGGAGAAGAAUCGAAGUACUCCAGCGCUGUCAAGGCUGCGCCGUUGCUCAUGCUCACCACCACUGCCUAAUCUUUGUCAGACCUUCAAGCUUCUUUGGAAACAGUUCUACUCCUCUCUCCUUGUCCUUAAUCCUAUCAAAUAUUUUACUUUUUCUACCAGUACCUAUUAUAAAUGUUUAAUAACUUAAAUUUUAAAAACUAAAGAACUAAAAUAUAAAUAUAAUAACUUUCAAAACUUGGUAAUGUUACUUGUGCAAGUGUGCAUCACUUGAAUGGCUUGUGCAUUGUAGCCUGGGCCCCACAUUUGAUCAUUUAUAUUAAUGUAUUGAAGAUUUGUGG